rnacentral:rRNA from 1 species
GACGAACGCUGGCGGCGUGCUUAAUACAUGCAAGUCGAACGAGAGCGACCGGUGCUUGCACUGGUCAAUCUAGUGGCGAACGGGUGAGUAACACGUGGGUAACCUGCCCAUCAGAGGGGGAUAACAUCCGGAAACGGAUGCUAAAACCGCAUAGGUCUUCGAGCCGCAUGGCUUGAAGAGGAAAAGAGGCGCAAGCUUCUGCUGAUGGAUGGACCCGCGGUGCAUUAGCUAGUUGGUGAGGUAACGGCUCACCAAGGCCGUGAUGCAUAGCCGACCUGAGAGGGUGAUCGGCCACAUUGGGACUGAGACACGGCCCAAACUCCUACGGGAGGCAGCAGUAGGGAAUCUUCCGCAAUGGACGCAAGUCUGACGGAGCAACGCCGCGUGAGUGAAGAAGGUUUUCGGAUCGUAAAACUCUGUUGUUAGAGAAGAACAAGUGCUAGAGUAACUGUUAGCGCCUUGACGGUAUCUAACCAGAAAGCCACGGCUAACUACGUG